CCUAACAGCAGACACAGACUAAUGGAGCUUGUCUUUACAGUGAAGGUUCCAUCAGACAGGAUGAAAGCCAGAUCCCUCCAGUCCUCCGGCACAGGAAGGCCGCUCGCUCCACCGAGUCCACGGGCGAUCGGCCAGCUGUGACAGCAGCGAGCAGCGGAGACGACAAUGGCGACUCCGACUCCGGGUGCAGUGACAGCUGGGAGCUCUACGUGCUGCUGCUGCUCUGGCUGCUGCUCUACUGCUUCUGGCUGCUGCCCCAGAUGGACCUGAAGACACUUCCCAGCCUGCUGCUCAACCUGGAGCCCUGAACGCACACACACACACACACACACACACACACACACGUAAAGCACCACCACCAAAUCGCACACUACAGUCCUGAAGAGGAGGAGUUGUUUUAGCUUUGUGCUGUGCAGCUUUCCAUGUGGCUCGGAGGCGUCUGUAUCUCCACGUUCUGGGGAAUAUUAUGAGAAAAGCGUUGUCGUUUUACAGGAUGAAAAGUCAUAACUUAUCAACAAUAACGUUUGAACUAUUCGUUAAGUCAGAUUAAAAGAAAUACUUGUAUUAUUAGAAACUGGGCUUUUAUUUUAGGAGUCUAUGGUUUUGAGAAAAGUCAGUGCUGUUAAAGUAAAUGUAAAAUAUUUUUGUGUUAUUAGAUUUUGUUUUAUGAUCAUUAUUAUUCAAAUAUAAAGAAACAAUAUCAUCGUAGUUAUAGAUCGUAGCCAAAGACCUGUAAUAAACAACCAGAAGCGAGACGUUUUCCUUCUUAAAGGUGUGACUUUAUUUAACAUUAGAACUUCUUCUCAUGACGUUGUUGUUUUGGUCCAAAUGUUGCAGUUAAAAUGGGAAAACCUGAUUUGUAAUUUACGACGGUUCAAAGGCGACACAACUGACAUUGUGAGACAACACGUACAGCACUCUGAUUGGUACAUGGAGAUAUAUACUAUGGACUCAUGGACUGAAUAGCCAUUUAAAGUGAAAGUGCUUUAAGCUGAGGGAGAUUAGAACAUUCAAACAUGCAAACCUGUAGGUGAUCUGAAGGUAACUAAUGAAGGGGGAUUUUGAUCCGUUGCACAUCGUGAAAAAGAAUCAGAACUGCCAAAGAAAUGCUUGAGAGAUGAGUAUAAGACAUAUGCAUUAACGAUAUGCAUACGCUCAAUACGGUAUCCGUGCCAACGAAAAGUACACAACAACCUGUUUUUAACAAAGUCAAUCUGGUACUAAAGCUCCGCCCCAGUGGCUCUAUAUUGUAUCAUAGUCGAGCAGAACAUGUAUUUGUAAUAUUUUGUGUCUUAUAAUGGAUUUUUAACGUUUUAUUGUAAAGAAAUGUUUUAUGUGAUUGAGACUUGCUUGUGAAAAGAGAAUGCUUUACGAUGAAAUAUCUUUAUAUACAUAUAUGCUAUUUUUGAACAUUGUCUGACAGAGCGCGCCUCCUUCACCCCGUCCUUCCUCCACCCGCACUCGGCCGGGUCAUCGUCAGCCCGUCUCCCGUACCUUUGAGUCACCCUGACGGGAAGGGGACACAGCUCCGUUUACAAAAGAGGUCCAAGGGCUCGAGGAGCUUCACGUCCACCCGUGGAGGUCAGGCUGAAGGUCCUAUUCAGGCCCCUCAGGUUCCAGCCUCUUUCACCACAAAUGAAUCACACCUCCACACGCUGCUGCCCGCCACAUGUGUCCGGUGCCUUCAACAAAAACAUGUCCAACCACCGGGACAGUCCCUUGAGUCUGAGACAAAAGGGCAGUUUGAGGUCUUUACAAGGGGACUGUGUGUGUCUUUGUGUCUCCUCCACCCAGAGGACUAACCUAGACGCACAUAUUGGCUUAGUCAUUGCAAAUGUUUCAUCAGCACCAGUGGACUGCGAUUAAAGACGU
ensembl:lncRNA